rnacentral:rRNA from 1 species
UGUAAGCGUAUACCAAAGUUGUUGCAGUUAAAACGCUCGUAGUCGGAAUUUGGCAGUUCCGGAUGUGUGCACGUCGUGUGCGCACUUCGCGGGGAUUGCUUUUGUGGUCUUGCGUAGGAUGAGGCACUUUUAUUAGUGAACGUCCUCACGCAACCACUUUUUACUGUGAGAAAAUCAGAGUGCUCAAAGCAGGCAUUUGCCGUGAAUGUAUUAGCAUGGAAUAAUAGAAUAGGACUUGGUUCUAUUUUGUUGGUUUGUUGGGGCUGAGUAAUGAUUAAGAGGGACAGUUGGGGGCAUUUGUAUUUCGGUGCUAGAGGUGAAAUUCUUAGAUUACCGAAAGACAAACUGCUGCGAAAGCGUCUGCCAAGGAUGUUUUCAUUGA